rnacentral:rRNA from 1 species
AUAACCGGCGAUUUCCGAAUGGGGAAACCCAGUGUGUUUCGACACACUAUCAUUAACUGAAUCCAUAGGUUAAUGAGGCGAACCGGGGGAACUGAAACAUCUAAGUACCCCGAGGAAAAGAAAUCAACCGAGAUUCCCCCAGUAGCGGCGAGCGAACGGGGAGCAGCCCAGAGCCUGAAUCAGUGUGUGUGUUAGUGGAAGCGUCUGGAAAGGCGCGCGAUACAGGGUGACAGCCCCGUACACAAAAAUGCACAUACUGUGAGCUCGAUGAGUAGGGCGGGACACGUGGUAUCCUGUCUGAAUAUGGGGGGACCAUCCUCCAAGGCUAAAUACUCCUGACUGACCGAUAGUGAACCAGUACCGUGAGGGAAAGGCGAAAAGAACCCCGGCGAGGGGAGUGAAAAAGAACCUGAAACCGUGUACGUACAAGCAGUGGGAGCACGCUUAGGCGUGUGACUGCGUACCUUUUGUAUAAUGGGUCAGCGACUUAUAUUCUGUAGCAAGGUUAACCGAAUAGGGGAGCCGAAGGGAAACCGAGUCUUAACUGGGCGUUAAGUUGCAGGGUAUAGACCCGAAACCCGGUGAUCUAGCCAUGGGCAGGUUGAAGGUUGGGUAACACUAACUGGAGGACCGAACCGACUAAUGUUGAAAAAUUAGCGGAUGACUUGUGGCUGGGGGUGAAAGGCCAAUCAAACCGGGAGAUAGCUGGUUCUCCCCGAAAGCUAUUUAGGUAGCGCCUCGUGAAUUCAUCUCCGGGGGUAGAGCACUGUUUCGGCAAGGGGGUCAUCCCGACUUACCAACCCGAUGCAAACUGCGAAUACCGGAGAAUGUUAUCACGGGAGACACACGGCGGGUGCUAACGUCCGUCGUGAAGAGGGAAACAACCCAGACCGCCAGCUAAGGUCCCAAAGUCAUGGUUAAGUGGGAAACGAUGUGGGAAGGCCCAGACAGCCAGGAUGUUGGCUUAGAAGCAGCCAUCAUUUAAAGAAAGCGUAAUAGCUCACUGGUCGAGUCGGCCUGCGCGGAAGAUGUAACGGGGCUAAACCAUGCACCGAAGCUGCGGCAGCGACGCUGAUGCGUUGUUGGGUAGGGGAGCGUUCUGUAAGCCUGCGAAGGUGUGCUGUGAGGCAUGCUGGAGGUAUCAGAAGUGCGAAUGCUGACAUAAGUAACGAUAAAGCGGGUGAAAAGCCCGCUCGCCGGAAGACCAAGGGUUCCUGUCCAACGUUAAUCGGGGCAGGGUGAGUCGACCCCUAAGGCGAGGCCGAAAGGCGUAGUCGAUGGGAAACAGGUUAAUAUUCCUGUACUUGGUGUUACUGCGAAGGGGGGACGGAGAAGGCUAUGUUGGCCGGGCGACGGUUGUCCCGGUUUAAGCGUGUAGGCUGGUUUUCCAGGCAAAUCCGGAAAAUCAAGGCUGAGGCGUGAUGACGAGGCACUACGGUGCUGAAGCAACAAAUGCCCUGCUUCCAGGAAAAGCCUCUAAGCAUCAGGUAACAUCAAAUCGUACCCCAAACCGACACAGGUGGUCAGGUAGAGAAUACCAAGGCGCUUGAGAGAACUCGGGUGAAGGAACUAGGCAAAAUGGUGCCGUAACUUCGGGAGAAGGCACGCUGAUAUGUAGGUGAGGUCCCUCGCGGAUGGAGCUGAAAUCAGUCGAAGAUACCAGCUGGCUGCAACUGUUUAUUAAAAACACAGCACUGUGCAAACACGAAAGUGGACGUAUACGGUGUGACGCCUGCCCGGUGCCGGAAGGUUAAUUGAUGGGGUUAGCGCAAGCGAAGCUCUUGAUCGAAGCCCCGGUAAACGGCGGCCGUAACUAUAACGGUCCUAAGGUAGCGAAAUUCCUUGUCGGGUAAGUUCCGACCUGCACGAAUGGCGUAAUGAUGGCCAGGCUGUCUCCACCCGAGACUCAGUGAAAUUGAACUCGCUGUGAAGAUGCAGUGUACCCGCGGCAAGACGGAAAGACCCCGUGAACCUUUACUAUAGCUUGACACUGAAC